CUAGAACGGCGCCCUCUUCAUCGACCAUUAAUUUCCUCCACAAACAAUAUCCAAAAUUCUUGGAAAGUUUCCGCUGAUUCUGAGAAUUUCUUCCUACUAGAGGCAAACCCAUCAGCUAAAAUCACGGAGCAAAUAGUUUCUACAGCUGAAAAACACAGAACCUUCAGACCCUCUUCCUCAAAUAAGAUCUCGUGUGCCACCAUAUUACUGCGCUUGAGUUUGCAGUGACUUUUUCGGAUCCAAAUUAAAGUACUUGUUUUCUUCGGGUCAGUGCUUGUUGUCGCAUUAAUUAGUAUGGUAGGUGCAAAUAAGAAUACAUGUGGUUUCUAGCAUGAAGUUGAUUGGAGUGAUAGAAGGAAACAUCCAAAUUCAUCACAUCUUUAUAACGGUGCAAGAUACGAGCGGAUUAGAGGUGGGACUGAGAGGUAAAGCAGUAAUUGAGGCUUGAUUUUUGUCCGUGGAAUCGAGAUACUGAUACCGGAGUAUUUGGACCGCAGUGAGGGUGUUG